GUAUCUCCUCGGAGAUACAUAUACUAAAAUUGGAACGAUACAGAGAAGAUUAGCAUGGCCCCUGCGCAAGGAUGACACGCAAAAUCGUGAAGCGUUCCAUAUUUUU
rfam:Mesocestoides corti genome assembly, scaffold: MCOS_contig0000843